AUUGAACGCUGGCGGCAGGCCUAACACAUGCAAGUCGAGCGGAUGAAGGGAGCUUGCUCCUGGAUUCAGCGGCGGACGGGUGAGUAAUGCCUAGGAAUCUGCCUGGUAGUGGGGGAUAACGUCCGGAAACGGGCGCUAAUACCGCAUACGUCCUGAGGGAGAAAGUGGGGAAUCUUCGGACCUCACGCUAUCAGAUGAGCCUAGGUCGGAUUAGCUAGUUGGUGGGGUAAAGGCCUACCAAGGCGACGAUCCGUAACUGGUCUGAGAGGAUGAUCAGUCACACUGGAACUGAGACACGGUCCAGACUCCUACGGGAGGCAGCAGUGGGGAAUAUUGGACAAUGGGCGAAAGCCUGAUCCAGCCAUGCCGCGUGUGUGAAGAAGGUCUUCGGAUUGUAAAGCACUUUAAGUUGGGAGGAAGGGCAGUAAGUUAAUACCUUGCUGUUUUGACGUUACCAACAGAAUAAGCGCCGGCUAACUUCGUG
rnacentral:rRNA from 1 species